UCUCAGUGUAUGGGCUGGCAGGCACAUUGAAAGGGUUGGGUGGAGCCACCAGGAAUUCACACCUUAAGCCCGGAUAUUCAACUGUGAAGUGGGUAACUGGCUUUCAGGACCCCUCUCUUUGCCGAGAGCAUUCCUUUUGCAUGAUAAAUUUUACUCCACUCACUCUCUGGGGGCCGUGCACCUAAUUUUUCCUGGUCAUGAGACAAGAACCCAGACCUAGCUGUGCUAAAGGAGCAAAAGUUCUGCAUCAUUUUGGUGGCUGUAUGGGGAUCCUGAGGAAAGGGAAUGUCUCGUGCAUGGGCGUGGAUGAUCAAAGGUCAGCUCUUGGUCAAUGUAAGUAAACAAACCUGUUUAAGAUAAAUUUCCCUAUACUCCCUUGUACCUACUCCUUGCCCUCUGCCUCAGGGUUAUAGAACAGUUGCCUUCAGCUAUUCUCCCCCAGGGCUCUGCAAAACUUUCUGACCUUUCCGAAGGUUUGCAUCCUUUCCCUGUAGUUUUUCCCACCACUCUGACUGAUCCCCCACAUCACAAGAAAUAUUAUUUCAUGGGAAAGUGAAA
rnacentral:lncRNA from 1 species